UUGAUAGUUAUAGGAGUUCUUUAACUCCUAGAGUUGUACAAGCUCUCAUUUGUGCUCAAGAUUGGCUAAGAAAUGAAACUGAAGACUCAAUUGAUGGUGAAAUUGAGUACGAAACGGGAGAGAUUGAUAAAGUUGACUUGGGUAUAUCUUUCUUUGCUUCUUAUUUUUUGUGUUAAAAUAUUAAGUUAUAAACUUAUUAUUUCUUAUUGAUCUUUAUCUAAUUAUUUUUAAAUUAUUUGAUUUGAUUUUAGAAUUUUCAAAGAUUAGUUUGGAGCCCGUGAUUGAUCAAUAGAAGUUAGAAAAGUUCUACUAUCUUAAGGUUUGAAUUUUGAAGGAAUUGAAGAUUUUAAGGAUUUGAAGCUUGCAUUUUUAUGGACUGUUUUUCAAUCUUCAAAAGUUCAAAGGAUUUGGCAGAAUGUUCAUCAAUCUUUCAUCAACUAUUUUAUGUAGUUUGUUUGUAAUUUUGUUUUAAAUUAAUGUGUUGAAUGUUGGUGUUUGGACUUUGGACUAUUUCUGUAAUAUGUUUGUGAGUUGUGAGUUUGGAGGUUGGACUUUGGACUUUGGCAGUGGCUUCUUGUGUUAGGCGGUGGGCAGUAUGCCAUUGUGGUUUAUUAAUUUGGAUAUUAGGAUGCCAAUCUUGGCAGUGGAGUGACUAAACAUGAUGCUUAUGUAAUUUUUUUUGUUUGACUUUGUGA